rnacentral:sRNA from 1 species
AGCUGGGGACCGAACCCAGGGCCUUGCGCUUCCUAGGAGACAUCUGAUGUGCUACACAGGUAGAAAGCCUGGCAGUUUGAGGCUAGAAUGGACUGCAGAACAAGACUUAAGAAAAGAAAGAAAUCACCUGUGACCCCUAUGUCCUGCAGCUGCUUCCCCCAAGGAUGCGAUGUAGGAGAAGCACGUAAGGACAUGUCAGGCUGCCUUCAUGGUGUUUUAGCCCUUCAGGAGACCAAUCAGAUUAUAGAAAUUACCAACCUUGGAAAGCCUUUGUCAGACAACCUUAGCUCUCACCUCUCGUAAAAGAAGCUUCUUUUGUGGCAGAGACCCUUGAGGAAAGCCACAACUGGUCAAAAUGUGGGAUACUGUGAUGGUUUGUAUAUGCUUGGCUCAGGGAGUGG